GCUAUGAUGAUUUGAAAUCAAAAUGAUAAAAAUGAUUACAGCAAGUUAAGCCCUCUAAGAAGAUCUGAGCAA